UACGUAGGGUGCAGGCGUUAAUCGGAAUUACUGGGCGUAAAGCGUGCGCAGGCGGUUUUGUAAGACUGUCGUGAAAUCCCCGGGCUCAACCUGGGAAUGGCGAUGGUGACUGCAAGGCUAGAGUUUGGCAGAGGGGGGUAGAAUUCCACGUGUAGCAGUGAAAUGCGUAGAUAUGUGGAGGAACACCGAUGGCGAAGGCAGCCCCCUGGGUCAAAACUGACGCUCAUGCACGAAAGCGUGGGGAGCAAACAGG
rnacentral:rRNA from 1 species